GGGUUGUGAGGUUAAGCGACUAAGCGUACACGGUGGAUGCCCUGGCAGUCAGAGGCGAUGAAGGACGUGCUAAUCUGCGAUAAGCGUCGGUAAGGUGAUAUGAACCGUUAUAACCGGCGAUUUCCGAAUGGGGAAACCCAGUGUGAUUCGUCACACUAUCAUUAACUGAAUCCAUAGGUUAAUGAGGCGAACCGGGGGAACUGAAACAUCUAAGUACCCCGAGGAAAAGAAAUCAACCGAGAUUCCCCCAGUAGCGGCGAGCGAACGGGGAGCAGCCCAGAGCCUGAAUCAGUGUGUGUGUUAGUGGAAGCGUCUGGAAAGGCGUGCGAUACAGGGUGACAGCCCCGUACACAAAAAUGCACAUACUGUGAGCUCGAUGAGUAGGGCGGGACACGUGGUAUCCUGUCUGAAUAUGGGGGGACCAUCCUCCAAGGCUAAAUACUCCUGACUGACCGAUAGUGAACCAGUACCGUGAGGGAAAGGCGAAAAGAACCCCGGCGAGGGGAGUGAAAAAGAACCUGAAACCGUGUACGUACAAGCAGUGGGAGCACGCUUAGGCGUGUGACUGCGUACCUUUUGUAUAAUGGGUCAGCGACUUAUAUUCUGUAGCAAGGUUAACCGAAUAGGGGAGCCGAAGGGAAACCGAGUCUUAACUGGGCGUUAAGUUGCAGGGUAUAGACCCGAAACCCGGUGAUCUAGCCAUGGGCAGGUUGAAGGUUGGGUAACACUAACUGGAGGACCGAACCGACUAAUGUUGAAAAAUUAGCGGAUGACUUGUGGCUGGGGGUGAAAGGCCAAUCAAACCGGGAGAUAGCUGGUUCUCCCCGAAAGCUAUUUAGGUAGCGCCUCGUGAAUUCAUCUCCGGGGGUAGAGCACUGUUUCGGCAAGGGGGUCAUCCCGACUUACCAACCCGAUGCAAACUGCGAAUACCGGAGAAUGUUAUUACGGGAGACACACGGCGGGUGCUAACGUCCGUCGUGAAGAGGGAAACAACCCAGACCGCCAGCUAAGGUCCCAAAGUCAUGGUUAAGUGGGAAACGAUGUGGGAAGGCCCAGACAGCCAGGAUGUUGGCUUAGAAGCAGCCAUCAUUUAAAGAAAGCGUAAUAGCUCACUGGUCGAGUCGGCCUGCGCGGAAGAUGUAACGGGGCUAAACCAUGCACCGAAGCUGCGGCAGCGACGCUUAUGCGUUGUUGGGUAGGGGAGCGUUCUGUAAGCCUGUGAAGGUGUGCUGUGAGGUAUGCUGGAGGUAUCAGAAGUGCGAAUGCUGACAUAAGUAACGAUAAAGCGGGUGAAAAGCCCGCUCGCCGGAAGACCAAGGGUUCCUGUCCAACGUUAAUCGGGGCAGGGUGAGUCGACCCCUAAGGCGAGGCCGAAAGGCGUAGUCGAUGGGAAACAGGUUAAUAUUCCUGUACUUGGUGUUACUGCGAAGGGGGGACGGAGAAGGCUAUGUUGGCCGGGCGACGGUUGUCCCGGUUUAAGCGUGUAGGCUGGUUUUCCAGGCAAAUCCGGAAAAUCAAGGCCGAGGCGUGAUGACGAGGCACUACGGUGCUGAAGCAACAAAUGCCCUGCUUCCAGGAAAAGCCUCUAAGCAUCAGGUAACAUCAAAUCGUACCCCAAACCGACACAGGUGGUCAGGUAGAGAAUACCAAGGCGCUUGAGAGAACUCGGGUGAAGGAACUAGGCAAAAUGGUGCCGUAACUUCGGGAGAAGGCACGCUGAUACGUAGGUGAAGCGACUUGCUCGUGGAGCUGAAAUCAGUCGAAGAUACCAGCUGGCUGCAACUGUUUAUUAAAAACACAGCACUGUGCAAACACGAAAGUGGACGUAUACGGUGUGACGCCUGCCCGGUGCCGGAAGGUUAAUUGAUGGGGUUAGCGCAAGCGAAGCUCUUGAUCGAAGCCCCGGUAAACGGCGGCCGUAACUAUAACGGUCCUAAGGUAGCGAAAUUCCUUGUCGGGUAAGUUCCGACCUGCACGAAUGGCGUAAUGAUGGCCAGGCUGUCUCCACCCGAGACUCAGUGAAAUUGAACUCGCUGUGAAGAUGCAGUGUACCCGCGGCAAGACGGAAAGACCCCGUGAACCUUUACUAUAGCUUGACACUGAACAUUGAGCCUUGAUGUGUAGGAUAGGUGGGAGGCUUUGAAGUGUGGACGCCAGUCUGCAUGGAGCCGACCUUGAAAUACCACCCUUUAAUGUUUGAUGUUCUAACGUGGACCCGUGAUCCGGGUUGCGGACAGUGUCUGGUGGGUAGUUUGACUGGGGCGGUCUCCUCCUAAAGAGUAACGGAG
rnacentral:rRNA from 1 species